rnacentral:rRNA from 1 species
AUAUUGCGCAAUGGGGGCAACCCUGACGCAGCCAUGCCGCGUGAAUGAAGAAGGCCUUCGGGUUGUAAAGUUCUUUCGGUAGCGAGGAAGGAAUUUAGUUUAAUAGACUAGGGGAUUGACGUUAACUACAGAAUAAGCACCGGCUAACUCCGUGCCAGCAGCCGCGGUAAUACGGAGGGUGCGAGCGUUAAUCGGAAUAACUGGGCGUAAAGGGCACGCAGGCGGUGACUUAAGUGAGGUGUGAAAGCCCCGGGCUUAACCUGGGAAUUGCAUUGCAUACUGGGUCGCUAGAGUACUUUAGGGAGGGGUAGAAUUCCACGUGUAGCGGUGAAAUGCGUAGAGAUGUGGAGGAAUACCGAAGGCGAAGGCAGCCCCUUGGGAGUGUACUGACGCUCAUGUGCGAAAGCGUGGGGAGCAAACAG